GCGCCCAUAGCUCAACUGGACAGAGCACUUGACUUCGGAUCAAGGGGUUGUGGGUUCAAAUCCUGCUGGGCGCG
rnacentral:tRNA from 1 species